UAGAUCGUAUAGUUUACACGGAUAACUGUGGUAAUUCUAGAGCUAAUACGUGCAUGUAGCCUGUACCCUCGUGGUGCAGGCGCAGUUAUUUGCUCAAAACCGAUUCAGCCCUCGGGUUGAUUAAUUGGUGAUUCUGAAUAACCGAAGCGAAGCGCGUGGUCUCGUACCGGCGCUAGAUCUUUCAAGUGUCUGACUUAUCAGCUUGUUGUUAGGUUAUGUUCCUAACAAGGCUUUCACGGGUAACGGAGUGUCAGGGCCCGACACCGGAGAGGGAGCCUGAGAAACGGCUACCACAUCCAAGGAAGGCAGCAGGCGCGCAAAUUACCCACUCCCGGCACGGGGAGGUAGUGACGAAAAAUAACGAUGCGAGAGCUUUAAUGCUUCUCGUAAUCGGAAUGGGUACAUUUUAAAUCCCUUAACGAGGAUCUAUUGGAGGGCAAGUCUGGUGCCAGCAGCCGCGGUAAUUCCAGCUCCAAUAGCGUAUAUUAAAGUUGCUGCGGUUAAAAAGCUCGUAGUUGGAUCUGGGCAGUCGAUGGGCGGUGCGCUUUACGGCGUUACUGUUCGUUCGGCGCCACAUGCCGGCCAUGUCUUGCAUGCUCUUCACUGAGUGUGCUUGGCGACCGGAACGUUUACUUUGAAAAAAUUAGAGUGCUCAAAGCAGGCGUUCAGCCUUGCAUAAUGGUGCAUGGAAUAAUAAAAUAAGACCUUGGUUCUAUUUUGUUGGUUUUCGGAGCUCAAGGUAAUGAUAAAUAGGAACAGACGGGGGCAUUCGUAUUGCGGCGUUAGAGGUGAAAUUCUUGGAUCGUCGCAAGACGCACUACUGCGAAAGCAUUUGCCAAGAAUGUUUUCAUUAAUCAAGAACGAAAGUUAGAGGUUCGAAGGCGAUCAGAUACCGCCCUAGUUCUAACCAUAAACGAUGCCAACCAGCGAUCCGUCGGUGUUUAUUUGAUGACU
rnacentral:rRNA from 1 species